UCUACUCCUAAUGGAGCAGCAGAUCGGUCUCCGUCGCCAACCAGACCUUCGCACGCCCGAUCCAGCCCUACGCCCCCUCCGCGGCCGAUCCAUCCCCGUGCCGCGGCCGAUCCAUGCCCUAUGCCGCCGCCGAUGCCUCCUCCUCCACCUCCAUUCCCAAGCGAGGGCGCCCGCGGCCGCGGUCUUCUCCCCCAGCCACCAUGGCUGCAGAUCCACUCACGGCCGGUCGUCUAAGCUGCAAGCAUGGAUGGAUGGAUCCAGGAAGGUAUCCUUCCUCCCUGGGUGGAGCGAGCUGCACAUCCCAUUCGGCCCUCUGUAGCCGGCCAUCUCCGCCUCCUCCUCGCCGUCGCCGCCGCCGGGGAUCGCGUCUUCACCAAGCGCGAGCUCCGCCCCGUCCGACCGACCGCAAAGGGGUUGUCCAUUGUAAAUUUUCAAGGAGAUUCAAAUGUUCCUCUUCUGGAUGAUUGAAGGGAUACUUGAAGCUAGGGCAAUCCAAGUAAGAUAGCUUCAUCCUCAGGCAACAGGUUUAUGUUAUCUUAUCAUGGAGUCAUUUUUAAGUUUGUGCCCAACGCCUUCAUCCUUAGAAUGGCUGCCCAGAUGGCAAGCCACCGUACUCAGGCGACUGCCGCGCUAGCAGGGUGCUCCAACUUUUGAUGCUGGCGAAGCUUUUGGAAUGAUGGCUACAUAAUUUGUUAGUCUCCGUUGGAAGCUUAAUUAAACUGAGGUUCAGAUGUGUGGCAAAGGAUUUCAAUUUUCCUGUUUACACAAAGGAAACUUGAGGAAGGUUCAUAUUUCUCAUGCUCGGUGCUGUGCUCUCAAGGUUACAUAGACAAA